rnacentral:tRNA from 2 species
GGAGAGAUGGCUGAGUGGACGAAAGCGCUCGACUGGAAAUCGAGUAGACGGGGCACAACCUCGUCUCGAGGGUUCGAAUCCCUCUCUCUCCGCCA